rnacentral:rRNA from 1 species
GACGAACGCUGGCGGCGUGCCUAAUACAUGCAAGUAGAACGCUGAAGGAGGAGCUUGCUUCUCCGGAUGAGUUGCGAACGGGUGAGUAACGCGUAGGUAACCUGCCUGGUAGCGGGGGAUAACUAUUGGAAACGAUAGCUAAUACCGCAUAACAGUAGAUGUUGCAUGACAUUUGCUUAAAAGGUGCAAUUGCAUCACUACCAGAUGGACCUGCGUUGUAUUAGCUAGUUGGUGAGGUAACGGCUCACCAAGGCGACGAUACAUAGCCGACCUGAGAGGGUGAUCGGCCACACUGGGACUGAGACACGGCCCAGACUCCUACGGGAGGCGGCAGUAGGGAAUCUUCGGCAAUGGACGGAAGUCUGACCGAGCAACGCCGCGUGAGUGAAGAAGGUUUUCGGAUCGUAAAGCUCUGUUGUAAGAGAAGAACGAGUGUGAGAGUGGAAAGUUCACACUGUGACGGUAUCUUACCAGAAAGGGACGGCUAACUACGUG